rnacentral:rRNA from 1 species
GACGAACGCUGGCGGCGUGCUUAACACAUGCAAGUCGAACGAUGAACCCGGAGCUUGCUCCGGCGGAUUAGUGGCGAACGGGUGAGUAACACGUGAGUAACCUGCCCUUGACUCUGGGAUAACUGCUAGAAAUGGUAGCUAAUACCGGAUACGACCCUCGGUGGCAUCACCAGGGGGUGGAAAGAAUUUCGGUCAAGGAUGGACUCGCGGCCUAUCAGCGAGUUGGUGAGGUAACGGCUCACCAAGGCGACGACGGGUAGCCGGCCUGAGAGGGCGACCGGCCACACUGGGACUGAGACACGGCCCAGACUCCUACGGGAGGCAGCAGUGGGGAAUAUUGGGCAAUGGAGGAAACUCUGACCCAGCGACGCCGCGUGCGGGAUGAAGGCCUUCGGGUUGUAAACCGCUUUCAGCAGGGAAGAAGCGAAAGUGACGGUACCUGCAGAAGAAGCACCGGCUAACUAUGUGCCAGCCGCCGCCGUAA